AACGAACGCUGGCGGCGUGCUUAACACAUGCAAGUCGAACGGUAAGGCCCUUCGGGGUACACGAGUGGCGAACGGGUGAGUAACACGUGGGUGAUCUGCCCUGCACUUCGGGAUAAGCCUGGGAAACUGGGUCUAAUACCGGAUAGGACCAUUGCCUGCAUGGGUGGUGGUGGAAAGCUUUUGCGGUGUGGGAUGGGCCCGCGGCCUAUCAGCUUGUUGGUGGGGUAAUGGCCUACCAAGGCGACGACGGGUAGCCGGCCUGAGAGGGUGACCGGUCACACUGGGACUGAGAUACGGCCCAGACUCCUACGGGAGGCAGCAGUGGGGAAUAUUGCACAAUGGGCGCAAGCCUGAUGCAGCGACGCCGCGUGAGGGAUGACGGCCUUCGGGUUGUAAACCUCUUUCAGCUAUGACGAAGCGCAAGUGACGGUAGUAGCAGAAGAAGGACCGGCCAACUACGUGCCAGCCGCCGCCGUAA
rnacentral:rRNA from 1 species